UUUGAAAUAGUUGCCCCUCAAUGGUUGAAUGCGGUGGUUCUCCCUUCUGCACGAAGGAAGCAAAACGUUGAAGAAAAAAUGUGGACUUCUUAAAAGACUCCUUCCAAUUGUUCUUCUCCCUCUUCUAUCACAGUGCUUUGAGAGAAAAUGCGUUGUACGACGGCACUGAAGUGAUCUUCAUCUGAUAAAGGCAAAAUUGAGUUAUCCCAGAGGCUGAAGUUUGUUGGGAUUAAUUUGACGCGUCCCUCUACGUAAAUUUUACCACGCUGGAGUUCUGGUUUGGUUUCAUUGGCCGUCCUGACGGUGGAUAGGCUGUUGCACACAUGCACCAUCCGGUUUGCGCAAUUCAACCUCUCUCUGUAUUUUACAUAGGGACUAAGUGACUGAGGGGAAACAUUUUAUUGAACACGAUGCAUUGGUAAAUAGAAAAUACAUUGUAAACCAUUGAAGAGAUUCUUUCGAAUGAGUUGCGUUUUUUGGUCCAUUGCGGAACCAACUGACCGCCGGUGCGUCCCGGCUGGGAGCUCGCUCAUGAUGUGUUUCGCGCGCCAUAAGAGGCCGGAACUAGCAAACCAUGGGAAUCGCAUAAUAGUGUCACAUGAAGUUUCGAUUACAACCCAGACCAAGGGACUCACUAACCGGUCUUGUAGGGAUCAAGACACAUGGAAUACAUCAGGUUGGGUCACCACAGCAACCUUGGAUGGAGGCGAAGUAUGA
rnacentral:lncRNA from 1 species